GAUGAACGCUGGCGGCGUGCCUAAUACAUGCAAGUCGAGCGAACAGACGAGGAGCUUGCUCCUCUGACGUUAGCGGCGGACGGGUGAGUAACACGUGGAUAACCUACCUAUAAGACUGGGAUAACUUCGGGAAACCGGAGCUAAUACCGGAUAAUAUAUUGAACCGCAUGGUUCAAUAGUGAAAGACGGCUUUGCUGUCACUUAUAGAUGGAUCCGCGCCGCAUUAGCUAGUUGGUAAGGUAACGGCUUACCAAGGCAACGAUGCGUAGCCGACCUGAGAGGGUGAUCGGCCACACUGGAACUGAGACACGGUCCAGACUCCUACGGGAGGCAGCAGUAGGGAAUCUUCCGCAAUGGGCGAAAGCCUGACGGAGCAACGCCGCGUGAGUGAUGAAGGUCUUCGGAUCGUAAAACUCUGUUAUCAGGGAAGAACAAAUGUGUAAGUAACUAUGCACGUCUUGACGGUACCUAAUCAGAAAGCCACGGCUAACUACGUG
rnacentral:rRNA from 1 species